UGGGGAAUAUUGGACAAUGGGUGCAAGCCUGAUCCAGCAAUGCCGCGUGUGUGAAGAAGGCCUUCGGGUUGUAAAGCACUUUUAUCGGGAGCGAAAAGCACAUGGUUAAUACCCGUGUGUCAUGACGGUACCCGAUGAAUAAGCACCGGCUAACUUCGUG
rnacentral:rRNA from 1 species